GCCGGGGUGGCCCAGACCGGUAAGGCGCAAGCCUGGAAAGCUUGUUCUCGCAAGAGAUCGGGAGUUCAAAUCUCCCCCCCGGCG
rnacentral:tRNA from 1 species